AUACGUAGGGGGCGAGCGUUGUCCGGAAUUACUGGGCGUAAAGGGUGCGUAGGUGGCACUUUAAGUUGGAUGUGAAAUCCCCGUGCUUAACAUGGGAGCUGCAUCCAAUACUGGAGAGCUAGAGUGCAGGAGAGGUAAGCGGAAUUCCUAGUGUAGCGGUGAAAUGCGUAGAUAUUAGGAGGAACACCAGUGGCGAAGGCGGCUUACUGGAAUGUAACUGACACUGAGGCACGAAAGCGUGGGGAGCAAACAGGAUUAGAUACCCUGGUAGGCCACGCAGUAAACGAUGAUGGCUAACCGCUGGUUUAUUCGGAUCAGUGGCCAAGCGAAAGCGAUAAGCCAUCCACCUGGGGAGUACGACCGCAAGGUUGAAACUCAAAGGAAUUGACGGGG
rnacentral:rRNA from 1 species